rnacentral:rRNA from 1 species
UCAGGAUAAAACGCUGGCGGCGCACAUAAGACAUGCAAGUCGAACGAACUUAACUCAUCUUUUAGAUUGAGAGCGGUUAGUGGCGGACUGGUGAGUAACACGUAAGCAACCUGCCUAUCAGAGGGGGAAUAACAGUGAGAAAUCAUUGCUAAUACCGCAUAAGCUAGUAGUAUCACAUGAUACAGCUAGAAAAGGAGUAAUCCGCUGAUAGAUGGGCUUGCGCCUGAUUAGCUAGUUGUGGGGUAACGGCCUACCAAGGCGACGAUCAGUAGCCGAACUGAGAGGUUGAACGGCCACAUUGGGACUGAGAUACGGCCCAGACUCCUACGGGAGGCAGCAGUCGGGAAUAUUGCGCAAUGGAGGAAACUCUGACGCAGUGACGCCGCGUAUAGGAAGAAGGUUUUCGGAUUGUAAACUAUUGUCGUGAGGGAAGAAGGUGACAGUACCUCAGGAGGAAGCUCCGGCUAACUAUGUG